GGACUCGUGGUGCAACGGAAGCGCGUCGGAUUGCAACCCCGAAGGUCGCAGGAUCAACACCUGCCGAGUCCU